CGGCGUGCCUAAUACAUGCAAGUCGAGCGGACUUAAAAAGCUUGCUUUUUAAGUUAGCGGCGGACGGGUGAGUAACACGUGGGCAACCUGCCUGUAAGACUGGGAUAACUUCGGGAAACCGGAGCUAAUACCGGAUAAUCCUUUUCUACUCAUGUAGAAAAGCUGAAAGACGGUUUACGCUGUCACUUACAGAUGGGCCCGCGGCGCAUUAGCUAGUUGGUGAGGUAACGGCUCACCAAGGCGACGAUGCGUAGCCGACCUGAGAGGGUGAUCGGCCACACUGGGACUGAGACACGGCCCAGACUCCUACGGGAGGCAGCAGUAGGGAAUCUUCCGCAAUGGACGAAAGUCUGACGGAGCAACGCCGCGUGAGUGAUGAAGGUUUUCGGAUCGUAAAACUCUGUUGUUAGGGAAGAACAAGUACGAGAGUAACUGCUCGUACCUUGACGGUACCUAACCAGAAAGCCACGGCUAACUACGUGCCAGCAGCCGCGGUAAUACGUAGGUGGCAAGCGUUGUCCGGAAUUAUUGGGCGUAAAGCGCGCGCAGGCGGUCCUUUAAGUCUGAUGUGAAAGCCCACGGCUCAACCGUGGAGGGUCAUUGGAAACUGGGGGACUUGAGUGCAGAAGAGGAGAGUGGAAUUCCACGUGUAGCGGUGAAAUGCGUAGAGAUGUGGAGGAACACCAGUGGCGAAGGCGACUCUCUGGUCUGUAACUGACGCUGAGGCGCGAAAGCGUGGGGAGCGAACAGGAUUAGAUACCCUGGUAGUCCACGCCGUAAACGAUGAGUGCUAAGUGUUAG
rnacentral:rRNA from 1 species